CAGACUGGGAAGCUUAGGGUUCCGAGAAAGCCUUUUGGGGGACGGAUAUGGAAGGGUGAGGGGAUCAGUGGACCUCAAGAAGAACCUUUUCCUUCAUGCAGGGAAACCUCAGUCUGCCCCAACAAAGAGAGAGCCUCCGCCGCCAGGUCUUUACGGAGGAGGGGGAAGGAGAUGCUGGGGAGAUAAAUGUGGACCCAAGCUCCUGCCCUCCAGGAUGCCUGGUCUAAUGAUAGAGAUGGAUAUGAGUGAGAAAACAGAAGAAAGGGCCGGGAGGAAUCAGAGAAGACUUCGCAGAGGAGAUGACAUUUUUUUCAGGGUCUUGAAAAAUGUGCAGGAGUUGGCCAAAGGGAAAAAAAGAGCAUUAUGUAGAGAAAUGUGCAAGUCAUAAAGCUGUCAACAGGAGAGCUGAGAUGUGGACCCAGGCAGACUGGCUACAGUGCUCAAGCCCUAACCACUGCACACACUGCCUCCCAUCAGCAAAAGCAGUGUGGCUGGACCUCUGAUGCCUGCGGGGAGGGGCCGGAGCUGCAUAUGAAGAGGAAGAGGCGCCAGAGCCUGCAGGACCUUGCCAGAUGCAUAGAAGAGUCUGAGUUUGUACUAAUAUUAGUGGGGAACCACUGAAGGUCUUAAGCAGGAAAAUGGGACUUCUCGGGUGGUGUUAGUGGUAAAGAACCCACCUUCCAGUGCGGGAGACACAAGAGAUGCGGGUUCAAUCCCUGGGUUUGGGAAGAUCCCCUGGAGGAGGGCAUGGCAAUCCAGUAUUGUUGCCUGGAGAAUCCCAUGGACAGCGGAGCCUGGCAGGCUACGGUCCAUACAGUCUCAAAGUGUCAGACACAACUGAAGUGACUUAGCACACAUGCACACAAGCGGGAAAAUAACAUGAGCAGAUCUGUGUCACAGAAUGGUCCCUCCAGAGACUGAAAGAGAACGGAUUGGAGGAGGUAAAGCCACAGAUGGGAGAUGAGUCAGCAAGUUAGUGCAAGGGGUCAGAUGAAGGCUUGUUGGGAGAACAGGGAAUGCUUGCAAGGAGAAGUCAAGGAGUGUCAGUCCACAGCCAUUCAAUAUGAUUUUGAAGAUUAAUCAAGCAACUUGGAAAAAUUCUUACCAAAAAAGCUUAAUUUUAAGCUUCGUUUAGAAUAAAGAGAAUUCAAAAUCG
ensembl:lncRNA